UACGUAGGUGGCGAGCGUUGUCCGGAUUUAUUGGGCGUAAAGAGCCCGCAGGCGGCUUGGCAAGUCUUUGGUGAAAUCUCCUGGCUUACCUGGGAGGGUGGUCGCCAGACGGGAUCGCUUGAGGGUCGGAGAGGGGCGUGGAAUUCCGGGUGGAGCGGUGAAAUGCGUAGAGAUCCGGAGGAACACCGACGGCGUAGGCAGCGCCCUGGACGACACCUGACGCUGAGGCACGAAAGCUGGGGGAGCGAACAGG
rnacentral:rRNA from 1 species